rnacentral:rRNA from 1 species
UACAGAGGGUGCAAGCGUUGUUCGGAAUUACUGGGCGUAAAGCGCGUGUAGGUGGCGAUGUAAGUCGGGUGUGAAAUCCCUCAGCUUAACUGAGGAAGUGCACUCGAUACUGUGUCGCUUGAGUGUUGGAGGGGAUGGCGGAAUUCCCGGUGUAGAGGUGAAAUUCGUAGAUAUCGGGAGGAACACCUGUGGUGUAGACAGCUUACUGGACCAUUUCUGACGCUGAGACACGAAAGCGUGGGUAGCAAACAGG